CAUAAUUCUUUUUUUGCAAUCUAAAGAGUUUUUUUUGCAGUCAGUAGGAGAGGUGACGACGGAGUGCAAGAAGAGACCUAUCAAGGGGUGGUGACGGAGUGUUAGAGGAGGCAAGGGGUAAGAGAGGUGGUGUUGGUCGCGAGGGACCAGUCCGGCGGGGGAGGGGAAGCAGUGGUGGCGGCCGCGAGGGACCAGUCCGACGGGAGAGGAAGCAGUGGUCGCAGCGGCGAGGGAUCGUCCGGCGGGGAGGGGAAGCUUAGUCUAGCGUCUUCACCGGCCCCUCUAGGAGCUCGAGUCGUACGAGCGCGGUCACCAUCCGUGGCAACCUACGCCUGCGCCUCCGAGCCCUGAACGUGCGGGAUGAGAUGGGACAAGGAAGGUUAGGCCGGGGCUUCACGAGCUCCUCCGUGAGCUCCAGCCGUACGAGUGGCCGCUGCGACCCAGGGAGGUAAGAGGACCAAGGGAGUGGCAGCGGUUGUACUCGGAGAGGUGGGAGAGGGCGCGCUAACAGGUCCAGAUCGGGGAAGACCAACACUCACCUAGGUUCUCAAGUGUACUACGCCAUAGAAAAACUUUCUACUAUGUAAUAGAAGUAUUUUCUUUCCUUCAACCUCUUCAAUAAUGACUUCUCCUUAAGUCACCAUACACGAAGAGUUCUCGAUUUGACCUUGUUCUUCACGUACUGAGAGUACGGAUGUGAUUGAUUAGUCUGAAGGGCUUCCUCUUCUUCCUCCACGCCUUUCUCCUACCCUCGUUGUUUAGACUUAGUUUCUCCCACUCUUAAUGAAUAGCUACUGAGCCCGUAGUUGAGAACUAAAAGCCGCCUUGUGUGUCCCAGUCUUGUUGACCAGACCCGGCAACGCGGGUCAUUUACGGUAGUUUUUAUUUAAGGGAUGGAUGUUCUUACCAUACUUACCCUAUCAGUAGUUUAAACGACUACUCGGUCUUUGCGGUACUGAAUUCCUCAGACAACGGUUUCUCUGUCGUCUAGACGAACUAGCCGCAGUCACAGAAAGUCAGGCGCUCGAGCGUUACUUUAAACUCUUCCCGGAGUCAUGACGGUGUAAUAAUAGAUUGCUCCAAUUUACAUUUGUUCACCGAAAUAACCUCGCUAUGUAGGAAGACUUAUUAGAUUUCUCACAUAACCUCAGUGACUCUCCAGUUCAUCGACCGUUUAUAUUCCUACUUUAACUCCUUAGCCAUAGAUACCACCUAUAAAAUCGUCAAGUCGACAGGUUUUGUCUUUUACUCAACGAAGUCGUCUUUUGGCUCCAGUGCUCUUAUCGCUGAAGUGAUUUUGACCGAAGACUUCUACGAUCCUCUUAACAACUGCUUCUUGCUUGAUUACGUGCGUACCUCUAACUUUUACGAUCUCGACAACAUGUUUCUCAAGUUUUUCAUGAAUUUCUCUUUCUCUUGUCAAGUGUUUCUUAAUCUUUCGUCAACGUCGGGUGGAUUAUCCUGACGAACUAAGGCAGCUCAUACCUUUUUCGCUUUCCAUAAAAUGCCAGAGAAAACGCAAGAAGAAUACAAUGAACGUAUAAAAGACACCAUAGUAAGUUCAGUAGAUGACUACAGAAGGAACCCAAAGAGAGUUUUCGCUUUCCAUUUUUGUUGUACUAUCGUUUACUCAUACCUUUUUCGUGUUAGUAAAAUGGAAGAUAUAAAAAUAGACGUUAAUGUAGUCUGCACGGGUAUCGAAAUCCUCCUAUACAACUAAGUAAUACGCUCUAACUACAUAGUUGGCUCGAUCGACCCAGUAGAUUAUAUUGUACGAACCAAUCAUAAAUAAUUUUACCGACUUGGUACUUACGAUCCUACAUUGUAUUUUAUUAGAAUGAACUUAAUGUUUCCCCUGCUUCUAGUUGAAAGGACACGAAUAGUAGAGUGCACCCAAACUAAUCGACGGGGUUGUAUACUAGACGGGGUUGUAAUCAAGGAUAACAUUAGGUCGUACCCGCAAGUCUUUCGUUUCUCUUCAAUUUGUAUUAGUGUUUAUCAUACUAACAGUUUAUGCGUGUAUAUUGAUUGCUGUAACAUUUAGGUGGUUAUACAUGGUCCCUAGUGUAUACUUCUAACAACUUGUAAACACUAUAGUGUAUCUCAUGCCGCCACUUGUUAGCCGGGCAGCAGAUCUACCAAAUAUUUUGGUAGGCUGAAGAAUCACGCUAUUCUACGGGCGGAGGUGCGCAACUAUUCUAGGGAUACCAGAUGGUAAAAAUGUUGUCCAUACUCUCAAUCUCUUGUUUUUUUCAUACAUGUUUAGUGAAUCCAUCUACAACUAUGUUGUAGAUACUUUGGUUGUGCCCCUUGUAGAUACUUCAGUCCAAUGAUAUUGCUAAUUAAACGUAUGAUAUCCAUAAGUCUUUUUGGGUUCUCAUCAGUCGUUUUAGUACGAAUUUAUGAAUGGCCAGAAACUUUCCCUACCGACUAAUAGGAGAACAUUGGACUGGUAUAGGAGGAGAAAAAAGAAGGCUAUUCUAAGUGCGGAGAUACGCAACUUGACGAGGGAACAAAGCGGUUACAAAAAAAGAAGUAAUGUAUGUCGAUGACAACGUACGACGAGCCUUCAAAACAGUAGACGUAAUGCAAUUCGCAUUUUUGGUGUUUCGGGUAAUUCGAGUAGACCCUUUUACCUGAUUUGGAGAGACUAGGCGAUGGCCUCUACAGCUAAACCUUCGACAUAUUCGUACGGACACUUAUGGAACUCAUAGUGGAGCAUCGAAUCAGUAUGGUAGGAAUAAUAAGAGUCUUAUGCUGCCUUAGGGCAGCAAACUUCCAAGGGCGGGAUGUAGAAUCGUUAGUUGUUUUAUAUGCUAUACGUGCUUUGUAAUCGUCGUUAGAACUGUGUCAGAAUAUGGACGAGGGCAGCACAUUUAUAGCACUUAUAAACGUACAUUCCCAUACUUCAAACGUAACAUCAGAGGUUGUAAAUAGGGCGAGCAUUCCUGACGUUGUGUAUUUUACGUAAGACGGUGAAAGUCUUUACGUGCACUCCGUUGUAAAUAUUGGUUAGAAGCGUGUCAUAAUAUGGACUAAGGCAGCACAUUUGCAAUAGUUGUUAAAGUCGAUGCCCAUACUACGAGCGUAACACAAGACGUAGUGAAGAGGGCGAACAUUCUGGACCUUCUGUAAUACGUAUGUCAGACAGUGACAGUCUAUAAGUCCAGAGCGUUGAUUUGUUUUUGUACCAUCUGACGUAGUAUGGACAUCAAUGCAGUAGAAGACCAACUACAAGCGCACGGCACGAAAAACUUAAGGGGUAUACGUUGAUAACUUACCUUUUUUAGUACUUCUGUCUUUACCAUCAAGAAACUACUAGAAGUGGUUGUACCAUUAAAGAAGAUGUAGAAACUGUAAGACGUUCCCAAUAACAAGAUGUAUAUAUGACGUUAACAUAAAAUAAGAUGUAUAUAUGACGUUACCGUGAAAGUAGAUGUAGAAGAUGUAGAGACAUGAAAUAAUCUUACGUUCACAAAAACAAGAUAGAAAUCAAGUCGUGUUCACCUUUGUAUGAGAACCCAGGACAUACCAAAUACAAAAGAAAAAACGGUAUAAGUGAGUUCACGUCCUACGUCCUAUGAGGAACCAUGUUUUUUUUACGGUUAACGGUUGACAUUUGUACACAUGAACUCAGAUAAAAAUUGUACUUUUUUUGGAUUUCACACACGUUGUCUUUAGUUAGAGCGUCCGCCUAGGUAGGGACACUUUCGUGAACGGUACCGACAUACUGUACGCUACCUACAUACCCGACACUCUACAUACUCUACGCUAACAUACCGUAAACUCUACAUACUCUACGCUAACUGCAUACUCUACCAAACAUAUGGAUAAAAAGCCUAGGUCCUGCACAAGACCGGCCUAGGACCUGCACAGGCACAUAUGAGCAGAUCCUAGUCGCGGCCUAGGACCUAGUUCCCGCUCCUCAAGUCGCGCCGCCGCUUCACUACCUCCCGCCGCCGCUGGACUAGGUCCUGGUCGCGGCCUAGCAGCUCCACAAGUCGCGCCGCCGCUUCACUACCUCCCAGCGCCGCUGGAACAGGUCAUAGCUGCGCCUACCUCCUGCUGCUCACUUCGUCCCCGCCGCUGGAGCUGGUGCUACCUCCCGCCGCUGCUACCUCCCGUCGCUGACUUCGCGCAGCCGCGUCCCUACAUCCCGCCGGUGCUUCCCUCUGGAGUGAGCUAUUGUCCUGAGCAGCGAGGAUGCACACAGGCGUACCAAAAAGACAGCGACCAAUUGGCAGCAUCUAAUAAAACAGCGUCCAAUUGGAAGCAUGCAGAUAACUCCCAGUGUACACCUAUCCACGCCCAAGCCCGGAGUCCUCCUCCAAAAAAACCAAACACCACCGAAUCAGUCUCCACCCUCCUCCAUGGUUUUAUUUGGUACCCUCCACCCUGAUUUUUUUGGACCUUCGCUCUGAUGGUUGACGAGG
rnacentral:rRNA from 1 species